AUUGAACGCUGGCGGCAUGCCUAACACAUGCAAGUCGAACGGCAGCGGGUCGUAGCAAUACGAUGCCGGCGAGUGGCGGACGGGUGAGGAAUACAUAGGAAUCUACCUCAACGUGGGGGAUAACGUAGGGAAACUUACGCUAAUACCGCAUACGACCGAGAGGGGAAAGCGGCGGACCGCAAGGCGUCGCGCGGUGAGAUGAGCCUAUGCCCGAUUAGCUAGUUGGCGGGGUAAUGGCCCACCAAGGCGACGAUCGGUAGCUGGUCUGAGAGGAUGAUCAGCCACACUGGAACUGAGACACGGUCCAGACUCCUACGGGGGGCAGCAGUGGGGAAUAUUGGACAAUGGGCGCAAGCCUGAUCCAGCAAUGCCGCGUGGGUGAAGAAGGCCUUCGGGUUGUAAAGCCCUUUUGUACGGGAAGAAAUCCUGUCGGUUAAUACCCGGCGGGGAUGACGGUACCGUAAGAAUAAGCACCGGCUAACUACGUGCCAGCAGCCGCUGUAAUAC
rnacentral:rRNA from 1 species